rnacentral:rRNA from 1 species
UACGUAGGGUGCAAGCGUUACUCGGAAUCACUGGGCGUAAAGCGCAUGUAGGCGGGUCUGUAAGUCAAAUGUGAAAGCCCUGGGCUCAACCCGGGAAUGGCAUUCGAUACUGCAGAUCUUGAAUGCUCGAGAGGAUGGCAGAAUUCCAGGUGUAGAAGUGAAAUUCGUAGAUAUCUGGAGGAAUACCGGUGGUGAAGACGGCUGUCUGGCGAGACAUUGACGCUGAGGUGCGAAAGCGCGGGGAUCAAACAGG